rnacentral:rRNA from 1 species
AUGUUAACGGAGUAUUUCAAGGCUAACCAGGAACACCGUUGGGCUAGGAAUAUAUUGUAUAAGAAUUUUCCCGGAAGCUUCACGUGGCAGCAGCAAAAGAAGUCUUGGAAGCCCCGGGUCGAGCGUUUUCAAAUAGGUUGCAUCGUGUCUGCCAAUCCAGCCGAGGGGGAGCGAUACUACCUGCGUGUAUUGCUGAACCAUGUUUCGGGCAAAACCUCAUUCGAGGACUUGCUCACCGUGGGCGGCGUGCUAUGUGGGAGCUUUAGAGAGGCUGCUGAACGGUUGGGUCUCAUUGAGGCAAACAACACGCUUGACGACUGUCUUAAUGAGGCUGAGCAGUGGGUGAUGCCAUGUUCUCUUAGGAGGCUCUUCGCAACCAUCUUGGUGCAUUACGAGCCAGGCGACGUGCGCGGUUUGUGGGAUAGGCACCUCGAGCCUAUGUCAGAUGACUAUCGUCGAACACGCACGUCGCCCAAGGAGGUGGAGCAGUUGGUGUUGCUUGACAUUAGGGCUAUGUUGCAGUCCAUGGGUAAAGAUGUUGUUGAUUUCGCUCUUCCAAUCAUCGAUGAUGCGUUUGACCCAACCGAUGGUGAGUGUAGAGAGGUCAUAGAGGAAUCAACCAUUGAGUUUGACAUGGAUGACACUAAAUUGGCAUCUUCCCUGAACUCGGAGCAGAGGGCCGCAUACGAUGAGAUACUGGCGGUUGUUGAAUGCGGUGAUGGGGGUGUAUUCUUUGUUGAUGGCCCUAGAGGUACAGGGAAGACCUUCUUAUACAGGGCGAUGCUUGCCAAGGUGAGGAGCGAGGGCAAGAUUGGUAUCGCUACCGCGACGUCGGGCGUCGCCGCUUCUAUAAUGCCUGGCGGCAGGACUACCCACUCGAGGUUCAAGAUACCACUGAGUUGCGAUGAUGGUGCCUCCUGCAGCUUCACCAAGCAAAGUGGGAUUGCCAAGCUGCUUAGGAUGGCCUCAUUGAUAAUAUGGGACGAGGACAGCAUGACGAAGCAACAAGCAGUUGAGGCAUUGGACAAUAGCAUGCGUGACAUCAUUGGAAUACGCGACCGACCCUUUGGAGGAAAGACUAUUGUUUUUGGCGGGGACUUUAGGCAGGUGCUUCCGGUUGUCAGAAGGGGGUCGCGGGGCCAGAUUAUUGAUGCAACACUUCGAAGUUCUCAUCUGUGGAAGGGUAUGCGGCAACUUCGGCUCGUUACCAACAUGAGGGCUCAUAAUGACACUUGGUUUGCAGAUUACUUGCUUAGGGUUGGCAAUGGCACUGAGGAUGUCGACGAUCAAGACAACAUACUACUCCCUAAAGACAUUUGUCUGCCUUCUACAGGCGAGGUUGACGACUUGGAGAAGCUUAUUGACCACGUGUUUUCGAGUCUAGAUGACAACAUGUCUGAUUCGAAUUACAUGACAUGUCGCGCAAUCCUCUCCACCACAAACGACAAUGUUUUGACAAGAUAA